GGCUGCACGGCGUGAACGUCGGCUUGUACGGGGUGCUGCAGCGAUGCUGCGUCAGAAGAAGCAAACGAGGGCGGCCCGCGGCUGUCCGAAAGCGGCGGCUGUAUUCGACCCCGUUGCGUACGCAGCCUCCAUCGCAAUUUCUGCCGCGGAGAAACGGUUACGCGCGCCGCACGUGCGGGGUGCAUCUUCUUCAACGGCCCGUCCCUCCUCUCCUCAGCGGCCACUGAGGAAAGGCGCCCUCGACGAGGCUCCGGAAGAGGCUGCUGUAGCCAGCUCUCACACAGCGAGCGCCUCUGUGUUGUGCCGCUCUGUCUUUCCUGAACUCACUGCAUCCGCCGAAGGUCCGCGCACCCUGCUUGAAGAGCUGGCCUGUUCGUCCGACUCAAGCAUGAGCGUGAUCGCCAACACGCCGCCGAUGCUCACCUGUGCGACACCCCACAACCACACACCAGUGGACGCCUCACGCAGCGCCUCUGUGCGCUCGUUGUCCCCGCCCGCACCGCCUACUCCAAACAUCCCUAGAUAUCUGGCGCACUUGGCGACUCGCACCGAAUCACCACCGUCAGAGCAGGAAGAAGCGCCCACUGCUGAGAUCAAUGAGGAUGACGAUGGAACCGUGUCUCUGCGGGAUGCCUCCCCUCUGCGGGAGCACAGCGUUCCGGGUAGCGUAAGCAUCCGAUAUCACACAUGCACUAUGGAGUCGGUUCACUCAAUCGUGCGGCAGCUUAAUUUUUCUCUGUACAAAUAGACGCGCGCUCGCGCUUUCCUCUGGACACUUGCUGGUACGUCUUCUACUCACACUCUCCUUUUUUUUUUAACAGUCUUGCGGAGGGGGUGGUGGAGAGGGACAGCCAAGUUCCUCGCAUCGCUGCCUCUCAUCCCUCUUUUGUUUGGCGCGUCAGCCUCGAGGUUUGUGACCAUCACUCAUGAGUGGUGAGCGCGGACCCCUAGAGCACGCCUCAUAGGCCUCUCGUAAG
rnacentral:misc_RNA from 1 species